UAGCUCAGUUGGUUAGAGCACCUGCCUUACAAGCAGGGGGUCACAGGUUCGAGUCCUGUAUCGCC
rnacentral:tRNA from 1 species